rnacentral:lncRNA from 1 species
UGUGGGAUGUUUUGGGUCUGAUGAAGUAUGCAUAGAGGUAGUAAGUGGUCAACAAGAAAUCGAUCACUCCUUAUAAGAGGAGAGAACAUCCUAUUUAGUCUCAUAGGAUGAUGACUCAUAAAGUCUCCGAACAGAGCAGAGAUGAACAAUAGAAAGAAUUUCUACUAGUUCAUCAAUUGAAUCAUUAUCAUCAGAUUGAGAUAUAUAUAGAUAGAUAUUUGGGCUUGACAUGAUUCCAUGCACAUGAUAUGUCUGGGAUGUUGUGUGAUUGAAGGAUUGAAUUGCACAGUAACUCAUCACAAAAAGAU